GACGUAGGGCGCGAGCGUUGUCCGGAUUUAUUGGGCGUAAAGAGCUCGUAGGCGGCUUGUCGCGUCGUCCGUGAAAACCCACGGCUUAACUGUGGGCUUGCGGUCGAUACGAGCAGGCUGGAGUUCGGUAGGGGAGACUGGAAUUCCUGGUGUAGCGGUGAAAUGCGCAGAUAUCAGGAGGAACACCGGUGGCGAAGGCGGCAGUCUGGGCCUGUCCUGACGCUCGGGCGCGAAAGCGUGGGGAGCGAAC
rnacentral:rRNA from 1 species